AUGUGGAAUGACGAGCCCACAAUCCAUGUACAUACUGCUUCCUUCUACGUUAUCUUAGCUAGUGUAGUUCAUGUAACUUUUGGUAGAGAUUUUGGGCUUGUAUGCAUCUGCGGUGAUCCUUAUCAUAGGCAGACAGAUGUUAUAUGGGAUUAAGUUGCAAAUUUUGUGUAUGAUAAUCCUGGUAAACCGAUGUUAUGUAUGGGUGAUCUAAACGAACUUCUGUAUGAUAUCGACAAAAGCAAUGCUAAUAUUUAUCGUUGUCGUAUGCUUGCUUUUCGUGCUCUCAUAAAAAAUUGUGGUCUUUUUGAUUUAGUGGGCCUACUUACACUUGGACUAGCAGGAAAUUCUCUUCCUCCCCUACUUAUGAGAGAUUGGAUAGAGGCUUAG
rnacentral:rRNA from 1 species